GGGAAAGUCUACCUGGCAGUGCCCCUUUCUCACAGUGGAGUCACGGUGCUGGACAGAUACAUCUUGUGGAGGAAGGAAAGGGGACUCCUGUGUCUUCAGCUACUUAGUGGACAGGUGAAUAAAAAGAACCGGCAAGAUCAGUGACAUGCUUUAAAAGUCAACACCAGAGGCAGUGGGCUUUAUGGAUAAAAGAAUGAGCCUUGGCUGCUGGGAGGAUUUUACAAUGCUCCAGGCAAGAGAUGGGACAAGAGAAACUGAGAACCAAGACGAGUUACCACAAGUGCUGCUGUCAAAGGGAAGCAACGACCAAGACCAUGCUGCCAGCGGUAGAACGAAGUUGGAACUACCGUCUCUUCCCACUUCUAAAGUCCACACGCUUUCUGAAGCAUGUUUCUGUGGGUGUCGCGUAUGUGCUUGCGGGAGGAAUGUAGGCUCGGUCCCCUCACUCUUCCACACGUCAGCCCUUAAGCUAUUUGCAAUAAUUGUCUCCCCUCCUUUCGUGGCCCUGACUCUGACUUCAUCCCCCUCACAUGUCUGUUGCCAUCAGACACAAGCUCUUUCUCCUUUAAAUUUCUGGAUCAUGUUUUUUUGCAAGUUUUAAUUCAAUAAUGUGCCACCCCUUAGAAUGGGCUGCGCAGGACCAAACCCAAUAUUUUCAGUGCACCCCCCCCCCAGUGAGUAUCUGUAACUUCCUCUGCCCUUGGUUUCAAUACAAGGCCCUAGAAGUUUCAUUUGUCAUUUUAUUACUGUCUCCCCUAUACUGACCAGCGGUUUGCUAUUGGAUUGUCAGUUAACAUCUGAUGGCUCAGAAUAGACAGUGUGGCAUCUUGACACAAUCCACCAUGAUCCUAAAUGCUUUUGUGUGUGUGUGUGUGUGUGUGUGUGUGUGUGUGUGUGUGUGUGUGUGAUGGUGGAUGUACCAGACACUUGUUAUUUCUCAUCCACCGAAACUUCUGGUAAUAGUACUUUGUUAAUGCUGUUAUGUUUUUGUCUAGUCUCUGUACUGCAAACCAGCUGGAUUAAACCAGGGAGUUCCAGGAGCAGAGUUCAUGGCCUAGCAUUAUCUGCUCACACUCUCACAUCGUGGUGAUGUCUGAGCUGCAGAGUAGGCCACUAAUGAUACCUACCAGUCAGCCACUGUCCUAGGAAUGCUAGGUAACAAGCAGUGCCAAAACUUAGCGGCU